ensembl:snoRNA
AUACUCCUUAAAGUUGAUGCAAGGCUUUAAGAGCUAACACAGAGGGGAAUAAGCUUCCAUAAAACCCUCAAGAGAGAUUGCAAAGCUAUUCAGGGAAUUCUUUCUGUUGUCACAGCU